AGAGUUUGAUCCUGGCUCAGAAUGAACGUUGGCGGCGUGGAUUAGGCAUGCAAGUCGAGCGCGAACCCCGCAAGGGGUGAAAGCGGCGAAAGGGACAGUAAUAUGUAGGUACCUACCCUCGGGUCCGGGAUAGCUGCGGGAAACUGCAGGUAAUACCGGAUGACAUCUCCGGAUCAAAGGUGUGAUUCCGCCCGGGGAGGGGCCUGCAUCCUAUUAGCUAGUUGGUAGGGUAACGGCCUACCAAGGCCAUGAUGGGUAGCGGGUGUGAGAGCACGACCCGCGUCACUGGGACUGAGACACUGCCCAGACACCUACGGGUGGCUGCAGUCGAGGAUCUUCGGCAAUGGGCGAAAGCCUGACCGAGCGACGCCGCGUGCGGGAUGAAGGCCUUCGGGUUGUAAACCGCUGUCAGUGGGGAGGAAGGCUCCGUGAAGAACGGGGUUUGACCUAUCCGCAGAGGAAGCAAGGGCUAAGUUCGUGCCAGCAGCCGCGGUAAGACGAACCUUGCAAACGUUAUUCGGAAUCACUGGGCUUAAAGGGUGCGUAGGCUGUGCAGAAAGUUGGGUGUGAAAUACCUCGGCUUAACCGAGGAAUUGCGCCCAAAACUACUGUGCUCGAGGAAGAUAGAGGUGAGCGGAACUUAGGGUGGAGCGGUGAAAUGCGUUGAUAUCCUAAGGAACACCGGUGGCGAAAGCGGCUCACUGGAUCUUAUCUGACGCUGAGGCACGAAAGCCAGGGUAGCAAACGGGAUUAGAUACCCUAGUAGUCC
rnacentral:rRNA from 1 species